CACUGGGUUUAUCUUUCUUCGCUGACUACCUGGAAGCUUUGUGGAGGGCUGUUGAUUAUCAGAGGCGUGUUUAUCGGUUAUUCAGAUGGCAAUGGUCCCGGGCCUCCGGGAGCGAUCUGCUCGGCUGUGGGAGCUGCGGCCUGCGGGCCCUCGGGCCGCCCUCGGGCCGUUCCGGGCCUGUCCCGCCCUCGCGCCCGGCGGAAUGGCGCCAAGCCGGAGCGGCUGCUCCCGGCCCGCCGCAGGGGGCGCUGCGGCCGCCGCUCUGUGGGUGCGCCGCCGGCGCCAUCUUGUGUGGGCGAGGCGCGAGGCGGAACGGGGCCCUCCGUGCGCGGAGAGGGGCGUGGAAGGGGCGCAUCGGCUCGGGGAUGGCUCGGGUGUUGUCUUGGGUUUGCAAAGAGACAAGAAGUAGCUGAGUAGGUCCCGGUUGGCCGGAGGCGAGCUGAGAGAAGAUGGUACCAUGGAUCACCAAAGGGACAUAAAGGCCAUGAGAGCCGCAGAGGGAGAAACAGGUUCUGGGGAAUACGUGAUUAAGGGAAGGCAAUAAAACAUUCUGACUCUGGUAGUGUUGCUUCUGAGGAGACGAUGGAGCUGCUUUUCCCACUCAGAGUGCUGUGGAAGGACAGGACAGAGUGGAACAGGAGAUGCUGGUGGAGGCAGCGGUGCAGUGAGCAGGUCCCGAACGCUUUCCUGUGGAAAAAAAUGAAGCUGGAUUUCCCUGGAGACAUUAAACCUCUGGACUUUACCCCCGAGAAGAGUCCCUCUUUUCUUACUUCGCCUACCCGCUGAUCACUGCUGCCUCCUGCUGAGGCGCUCCCUGGACGCUCCCGACGCAUCUGGGCAGUGCCCCCCCGGCUGUCAGCUGCUGUGCCACAGUUCAGCCGGCGCAGACUCCUCCCCAGCCUGGGGGAGUAGAGAAAAACUCGGACAGCAGCUCGGCAGUUUUGACAUCCACCGUAGGGGCAGUGGACACCCCCGGACCCCGUGGCAGGAGGUCAGUGGCCAGUGGGCAGGUUUUGCCCUUCCUGCUUGGUUCAUCGGUUGCUCCGUGGAUGUCAGACUACCCUGUCUGUGAGCAGACCUCGUUUUAGAGGCGGCGCUCCGGAUUGGGAGGGACCGGAAGCUCCUGCACCCCAGAGUCGGUCCCCAGCGAAGUCUCUCCCUUGGAGUUUUAUCCCGGUCGGCGCAUGUCAGAGGGUGAGUAUCCCCAGCUCCCCAUCUUCGGGUGGUCCCCCUCGCCUAAUGCCCUGGUUUCGUCCGGUUGAGUUGGUGGUUUCGUCCCAGACCCAGUGGGGUUAGGGUUGGUGCCUGAGGGGGUUUUUUUUGUUUGUGUUAUAUUUAUUUUCACUCCACGGGGUGGGUUUGCUGUGUCGGCAUGGGUGCUAAACUGUCGACACAGCAGAAAGGAGUUUAUCUCUAAGUUGUGGCUAUCCUUGGGGGGAGGGAAAUUAAAUUAAUUAAGAGGGAGUUAAAACAGUUGAUAAUGUGGUUGUUUACUCAGUUUCCUCAGAUCACCCCCGAAAUGGUUCAUAGGAUAGAUUUUUGGAAUUAGGUUGGAAGAAAAUUAUCUCAAUUGGAUUCUGAGGGGGAAUCAAAGAGUAAAAAAUUAGUUUAUUGGAGCUUCCAAAUUAUUACAGCUUUAAAAAAACAGGUGAAACUGAGGGAACAACCACCCCCUGGUUCAUGUUCACCCUGUCACCAAGCCCCAGACCCUUGUUCCACCUCCUCUGUACCUCUGAAUAAGGGGAUCCUGAGGGGAACAGCUCACACAGGCACAGUGCCGGGUUCUUGCCAUCCCCCGGGUUUUCCUCAGGGUCCUCCAACCCCCCACCUCCGAAGUCCUGGCCAGACUUCGGGGGAUUCUUCCCCAAACCCUGUUUCCCCUACCCCAAAGUCCCCGGUUGUCAAACCCAAAGUUGAGUUCUUAGUUCCAGAGGGUGACAACUCUCAGACCCUGUCCCAAAAUGGCUCCCAUGGAGCUCAAGAUGGAGGUGGCCACAUGGCUUUUCCUAUCAAAACACUGUCUUCUUCCCACAAUCCUUUUCUUUUUCCCUCCAACCCUUUUCUCCCCUCCCCUCCCCUGCAAAACCCCGCCCACCCCUGCUUCACUCCACCCUUCAUUCCUCCACCCCCUUCCCUGCCCUUCCCUCCUCCCCCUCCCCUAGCCCCGCCCCCAAGUUACCACCUACAGGCGGAGCAUGUCCCAUCUCUCGACUCCGCCCAGGCUCCCAGCCCCGCCCAGGUUUCCACGCAAUGCCCCUCCCUCCCCUGUUCUGGUUCCCACGCCCCACCUUCCGGUCCCCAUGACCCGGUUCCCGGGGGGGCGGGGCGGCGUUGGAGGACCGAAACACAGGGCUUGCACCAGUGAUCACUGCAGCCCCUGUCACAUACCAACUGGAGGGAGAGGGACCUGUUAAAGCGCAGUGGUCCCCAUUCUUGCACUCCCCCAUCAAGGAACUGUGCAAGGCUCAAAAGGAGUUCUCCCGGGAGAGUGAAUAUUUCCGGGGACUCCUUCGGGCCUCUUUAUUAGAAACUAAUGUUGUUCCCGCUGAUUUGCGGACGCUUUUUUCAUGCCUCCUCAACCCGACCGAGUUCCUGGUAUGAGAGGAGGCAUGGAAAAAGGGGGUCAGGGACAUCCUCCCAGAUUUGUGGGCGGAUGCCCAGACCAGCACAAUAGUUGGUGGUGAAGCUGUCUGCACAGAACACCUGCUUGGACUUGGGAAUUGGGCCGAUGGGGCGAUUCAAGCCAGGGACAUCCCCCGCACUGCACUUUGGGAAAGUGCGAAGGUGGCAGAGAGGGCUUUCAUUUCUUUAAAAACAGUAACAUUCACUGUAACAUUUUUUAAGAUUAUCCAGGGUGGUGAGGACCCUUUUAUAAUAUUUGUCGAGCGUCUCCGCAGAGCCAUCAAUCAACAGGUCCUAAGCGAGAGCGCUCGACCCGAGGUGCUGCUAGAGAUGGCUGCUGCGAAUGCGAACAUCGCCUGCAAGGCAGCCAUUCUCAGCCUCCCGUUGGACCCUCCUCUGACAAUUCAAUCCAUGAUUGAAGUGUGUCAGAGGAAGGUUCCGGUUAUCACCAAGGAAGACGCCGGAAGUAAACCACCGUCCCGCCAAGUGUCUUUCGCAGACUCACUUGCCUUCGCAGAUGUGAUGCCUGCACAGCCCCAGCGUACUCCCACCCAGGGAAGACCUCCACCUCACGGACAAUACCACCUGUGCGGAAACUUGAACCAUUGGAUGCCGGACUGUCCGCUUCGGGCUCAGUUCUAUGAGUUCCGAAGAAAGCAGACAGCAUCCCAGGAGGGACUCCAUCAAAAUCCAAAAAACUAAAACAUGAGUGCAGCCCCUCCCUGCAUGAUGACAAAAAUAGGGCGGGUGACAUACCACAAAAAAAGGGGGAUUUGGGGAGGGGAUCCCAGUCUGCCCACCCGAUUUCACGACUAGCUAAACCGGACUUGACUUCACAAUCAACCUUAACUUUUCCAUCGCUGACAACCUCUUCUUUGAUUUCACCCUUCAGGUUGCACCUGGUUGUGGAUCUCAACAUCACGAACUCCCAGUGCCACCUUGUGAUGGUAGCACCUCAGGCACCAGGUAUUUGGUACCGGAUCCAAAGUAAGUGUGUUGUCGUAGGAGACACCAAAUUCACACCCCCAGAAAUUACUAUCAUUCCGGGGUUGCUGCCGUCCAGCACUCACAACUUUGCCAUCGGGCUUUUCUGCAUACACCCACCGGUCUCCCUGGCCAAAGGCCAGGUGAUCACCCAGGCCAUUCCUGUGUCUCUCUCUGAAUUUUAUGAAUGUGAGAGACCCCUACCGCCACAUGGCACUUUACCAACUUACAACAUUAAUUGGUCGCAGACGGUAGGGCGUGGAAAGCCACAUUUGACAUGCACCAUGAGCAGGGGUGGCCAAACCACCAGGGUGAACGGAAUGCUGGACACAGGGGCAGAUGUGACGAUCAUUCCCGCCAGGGAAUGGCUGUCACAAUGGGAAUUGCAAAACGUGGCCGGACGAGUUCAGAGUAUAGGGGGCAUUCAAUUGGCCCGACAAUCAAAGAGCGUGGUACAAAUUACAGGGUCAGAUGGGCAAUUGGCUUCUGUGCACCCAUUCGUUCUGGAUUAUACGGAACCCCUGUUGGAUAGAGAUAUUUUGGCCCAAUGGGGUGCCACAGUUGACUUGCCUAAGCUUCCUCAGCUUUUUCAGUAGCGGCCACUGAGGAUUGCCCUACCCAAAAAUUGACUUGGAAAUCAAAUUCACCUAUCUGGGUAGAGCAGUGGCCACUCAACAAACAAAAGUUAAAAGCGCUCACGGAGCUCGUACAGGAGCAGCUAGAUAAGGGUAACAUCAUGGAGUCCAUGUCACCGUGGAACUCCCCUGUCUUCAUCAUUAAGAAACCCAACAAAGACAAAUGGCGGCUCUUGCACGACCUUUGCCAAAUUAACAAUAUUAUCGAAGACAUGGGCACUCUCCAACCAGGGAUGCCGUCCCCAACCAUGCUCCCCCAAAAUUGGAAAUUGGCCGUACUGGACAUAAAGGAUUGUUUUUUUCAAAUUCCUCUGCACCCUGACGAUGCCCCGCACUUUGCCUUCUCGGUCCCCACCAUCAACUGAGAAGCCCCAAGGAAGAGGUGUCAUUGGCAGGUUCUUCCUCAGGGCAUGAAGAACAGCCCUGUGAUCUGCCAAUGGUAUGUCUCUUCCUUGCUGUCCCCUGUUCGAGAGGCAGCAAAGGAUUCUAUUAUAUUACAUUACAUGGAUGACAUCUUGGUGUGUGCACCUGACAGCAGUGCACUUAUCUAUGCGCUUCUCCUGACAAUUGAAGCAUUGACUUCUGCAGGGUUUGAGCUCCAGGAAGAAAAGAUUCAAAGGAUGCCACCCUGGAAAUACCUUGGCCUGGAAAUUACUAAGGGGACCAUUGUUCCGCAAAAAUUGGCUUUUAACACCCAAAUUAAAACCUUGGCCGAUGUCCACCAGCUGUGUGGGUCUUUGAAUUGGGUGAGACCUUGGCUGGGUAUUCCUAUGGAAGACCUAGCCCCCCUUUUCAAUCUUUUGAAAGGGGGAGUGGAGCUUAGUUCUCCCAGGACCCUUACCCAGGAGGCCACCACAGCCUUGGAAAAGGUGCAAAACAUCUUAUCACAGAGACAGGCACACCAUUAUAAUCUGGACUUGCCAUUCAGUUACGUUAUUCUGGGAAAGCUGCCACACCCGCACGAGUUGAUUUUUCAGUGGGAGUCGUCCACAAAAACAUCUAAGGACCAAGGUUCGAGGGACCCUCUCUUAAUUAUAGAGUGGGUUUUCCUCAGCCAUCAUAGGUCCAAGAGGAUGAUGCGGCCACAAGAGUUGGUAGCUGAGUUGAUCUGGAAGGCUCGCCUCCGGAUCCGGGAACUGGCUGGAGUUGAUUUUACAUGCAUUCAUAUUCCUAUCAAUUUGAACUCGGGCCAACUAACAAAGGCCAUGUUGGAGCAUUUGCUCUUGGAGAAUGAGGCUCUUCAGUUUGCGUUAGAUUCAUUCACCGGACAAAUUUCUAUUCACAAACCGGCCCACAAAUUGUUUAAUUCGGAAAUGUCAUUUAAACUUUCACUUAAAACCAUUCAGAGUCGGAAGCCUUUGAAAGCUCUGACUGUUUUCACAGACGCGUCUGGAGCAUCCCACAAGUCCGUGGUGACUUGGCGGGAUCCUCAAACUCGGCAGUGGGAGACAGAUAUUGUAAAGGUUGAGGGCUCACCUCAAAUUGCCGAGUUGGCUGCGGUUGUCAGAGUCUUUGAAAGGUUCUCUCAACCACUUAAUCUGGUAACUGACUCUGCUUAUGUUGCUGGUGUCAUUUCUAGAGCGGAGAGCACGAUUCUUCAGGAAGUCCCCAACAUGGCUCUGUUCAAUUUGCUCUCGAGAUUGAUACAUCUGGUCUCCCACCGAGAGCAACCCUUUUAUGUAAUGCAUGUAAGGUCACACAUCAACCUGGCAGGGUUCAUCGCGGAGGGCAACUGGCACGCCGAUGCCCUAGCCUCCCCAGUUGAGAUGGCCCCACUCCCAGAUGCCUUUCAGCAGGUGAAGCUCAGCCACCAAUGAAUCCAUCAGAAUGCUCCUGGCCUGGUCCGUCAAUUCCAACUGACAAGGGAUCAGGCGAGAGCAAUUGUGGCCACAUGCCCACAGUGCCAGGCAUUUCAGUUACCAGCCAUAGCCGCCAGCACCAACCCGCGGGGGCUAAAAAGCUGUGAAAUUUGGCAGAUGGACAUAACACACAUCCCAGAGUUUGGCAAGUUUAGGUUUGUGCAUGUCUCUGUGGACACCUUUUCUGGGGCUGUCUACGCCUCUGCUCACACAGGGGAGAAGACUGCAGAUGUCAGAAAGCAUGUGUUGCAUGCCUUCUCCGUGUUGGGCAUCCCCAAGGUAAUAAAAACAGACAACGGGCCAGGGUAUACUUCCAGGGAAUUCCGGAGCUUCCUGCAGGAGUGGGGGGUAAGCCACGAAACAGGCAUCCCUUACUCUCCCACAGGACAGGCAGUGGUAGAGCAGGCCCACCAGAGCCUCAAACGAACAUUAGAACAUCAAAAAGGGGCUAUGAAGGUGGAGUCCCCUCAGACCCGGUUAGCUAAGGCCUUAUUCACUAUAAAUUUUCUUAAUUGUAGUUUUGAGUGCCUGAACCCGCCCAUCGCAAGGCACUUUAACACCUACAAAGACGUGCACCUGAAGGCGAAACCCCCUGUGUUAGUGAAGGGUCCAGAAACUUGGAAGGUGGAAGGCCCCUUUGACCUGAUAACGUGGGGUCAUGGAUACGCUUGUGUGUCCACCCCCACAGGGUUAAAAUGGGUGCCUUCCAAAUGGGUGAAGCUCUACCUUCCAGCGAAAGCCCACAACAUUGGCACCGCUACACAGGUGGAGGAGGCAGCGUGGCAACGGAAAAGAAAAGAAGUCCCUUUGGCCGGUCCCCCCCAGACCGAACCUCACUCCUCAGAAUCUUCUUUAUUAACUUAUUUUCUCCGUUUAUAUCAAUUGGACUCUCCCUCAUCGUAAUUCAAGUUAUGUUGAUGACCCACCCAGCCGACACGUGGAUCGUUCCCCGACCGAAGGCGAAUGUCUGGCAAACCUUAGCUCAAGCAGUGGGACAAGACCACCUGUGCCUGUCUACAGCUUCUGCAGCAGACCCCCUCUCAACUUGUCUCGUGGGAAUUCUGUUCAGGUUUUAUGAUUUUCCCCCUCCAUUAUUCCCUACCCUGAAAUCCUUGCUCCCACAAUCUGAUCAUGAGGUUCGCCCUGAACCCCACAUUGUGUGGCGAGAGCUCUUAGCAGUUCUCAAUCAGACCACCGAUGAGCCCACAGAAUUUGAGCUACUCGGCUCCGCACGAGCUUCCCUCUGUCUCCACUUUUUCCUAUACCCUGGGUCGAGCCCAUUUCAAGAAGUUCCAUCACAAGGGUGAAAAAUACCAAGCUGCUAAUUGGUGCAACCACACCAUCACUGUAUAUGCGCCAUCCACCUUUUAUGGGCGGCCCAGAUUUCUUCCCAAAGGUGUUUUUAUGUUGUGCAGAGACCGAGCGUGGGCUGGAAUUCCCUCUCGUCUGUCCGGAGGGCCCUGUACUUUUGGGCAGUUGGCGCUGCUUACCCCCAACUAUACCCAAAUUCUAGAUUGGAAAACUAAAAAUGUCACACAUGAUCCGGCCAGAGUUCAGAGAAGCACACACAAAAUUGACCCCGAGUGUGACGCGGAAAUUGUGCAUUGGUCCAAACCAAAAAACAUUGCAGUUUCGGUGUUUUUGCCGUGGGUGGCCGCAGCUAAGGCGCUCGGGGAAUUGGAAAACCUUGAGUGCUGGGUGGCUAAGCAAGCAAAUUUGACAUCCACUGCUGUAGCGGACCCCCUAGCAGACGAGGAAAUAAUGAGGCAAGCAACACUCCAAAACGGAGCAGCAAUAGACUUUCUGCUCCUGCUGCACAACCACCAUUGCGAGGAGUUUGAGGGACUCUGCUGCAUGAACCUGUCGUCACGAGCUGAGGACGCCAGACGUACCAUCCGCCGGAUGUCCGAGGACGUUGAUAAUAUCAAGCAGCAAACCUUGGACUGGUUGGGGGACUUGCUCUCAAAAGUUGAACUUUCAGGUUGAGUGGGCUCCAUCCUUCAAAUGAUUUUGGUUGUUAUAUUCCUUCUACUUUGUUUGACUCUUGGUUUUUGUAUUGUUUAUAAGUUACUUACCCGAAUUUUAUUUACCACAAUAUCCCAAAUUAAUCAUGUAGAGGCACCCCCUGACACUGCUCCCACCUCGGAUGAACCCCAAUGUCUAGAAAUUAGUUGGGAGCAAACCCCUAAUACAACUCAGUGGUUUCAGGAUAAUCAGGAGGAUAAUACUUCAGUUUAAAAGUAAUUUUUGUUUUCUUUUUUAAACAAAAAAGGGGGAGAUGUUGUGGUGUGUUCAUUUUUAUUUGGAGUUGGUUCGUUCUGUUACCCCUGUCUGUAAUGAUGGUUCAGCCUGGAAUUCCCCACCUUCCCCUGGGUUUGCCCCUCCCCAGCAUAAGGGUUCUAUCAAUGUAUUGUCUCCUCCCCUGUUCCCCUGGAUAACCUCUGUUAAUCCCUGCCCGAGUUCCUCUCCGUCACCCACUGGCCCCUCCCUUCCUUCGAGAAAGUUCUUCCCUUGUCAGUGGGUGAUUGGAUCAGGAACAAGAGUCCCUCCUUCCUAUCCUCCCUAUUCGCUAGCCGGCAUGUCUGUUAUAAGUUUGUUCCCUCCUAAGUUUUCCAUUAUUGGUUAUUGUGUAAUCCCCACCUGAGUGUUCCAUCCCCUUUAUAUACUGUUGCACCCAUUCCUCGGUGUCUUUUCUUGGCUGGCUUCCCUGGAGACAAAUAAACUUCUGGACUGUG